CAGUCGCCACGGUAAUGCGUAGGGUGCAAGCGUUAAUCGGAAUUACUGGGCGUAAAGCGUGCGCAGGCGGUUUGUUAAGACAGAUGUGAAAUCCCCGGGCUCAACCUGGGAACUGCAUUUGUGACUGGCAAGCUAGAGUGUGGCAGAGGGGGGUGGAAUUCCGCGUGUAGCAGUGAAAUGCGUAGAUAUGCGGAGGAACACCGAUGGCGAAGGCAGCCCCCUGGGCCAACACUGACGCUCAUGCACGAAAGCGUGGGGAGCAAACAGGAUUAGAUACCCCUGUAGUCCCUGUCUCUUAUAC
rnacentral:rRNA from 1 species